CUUCGGGAGGCCUUUUGGGCCUUCUUCGGCACCCGGUUUCUAGGUACCCGACAAUAUUUUUCUGAGGUCGUGGACAAACAUUGUAGUGCAGAUGAGUAGAUUAUAGUCAUUUUGCUGAGUAAUUUGGGUGAGUUAUUGCAAAAGAAAGGAUAUCUUUCUCCUGUAUUUAGUUAGACCAGUCUACAUGUUCCUGUAACAGUAGCACAUCAUUUGUAGUUCUUGUUUUGCUAGUAUAAUCCAACCAACUUUUAUUUAAGUCCUCUAUGACUAAAAAACUUCUUGUAUCUUUGUUAUGUACUAUGAAUUUAUAUUUAUACAUCUCUUACAUUGUAAUUUUAUCAAUAUUUUCUUGUUUAUUGGGUUGUGGUGUUUCAAUUAUUAAUGUUUCUAUAUGUUUUUUUUACUAUUAAGAUUAAUAAGGGCAUGUCUAAUGCAGUGGCGAGAGCUCUCACCGAGUCAGGUCAUGGGUUUGAAGCGGUCUAUCGUUAUUUGUGGAGGAAAGCUUGUCUUGGUGUAUCCUCUCUUUAGACCUCCCUCAAGUGAGUCCUGCGGCAUUGAGUAUGCCCUUAUUAUUAUUAAGGUUGAGUACAUAUCUCUAACAACUUUUAAUUAUUAGACUGUAAGCUUAAAGAAGUGUCUAUUGGACCCUAAAUGUGUGGUUUCUCAUCACUCACUCACCAUAUAACCUUAAUGUUUGAUAGCUAUUUACAACUUAGUGACACCUUCUAUCAUCCUAACAUGCUUGAUUUGUGCUCCCUGGACUAAGCAGAUCAACUUUUAUGUCACUCUAUGCCUUCUUUAUCCAGUUUGUCUUAUUGUUGAGCAACG
rnacentral:lncRNA from 7 species